CUACGUGCCAGCAGCCGCGGUAAUACGUAUGUCGCGAGCGUUAUCCGGAAUUAUUGGGCAUAAAGGGCAUCUAGGCGGCCUUCCAAGUCAGGGGUGAAAACCUGCGGCUCAACCGCAGGCCUGCCUUUGAAACUGAUGGGCUGGAGUACCGGAGAGGUGGACGGAACUGCACGAGUAGAGGUGAAAUUCGUAGAUAUGUGCAGGAAUGCCGAUGAUGAAGAUAGUUCACUGGACGGUAACUGACGCUGAAGUGCGAAAGCCGGGGGAGCGAACAGGAUUAGAUACCCUGGUAGUCCCGGCCGUAAACGAUGAUUACUGGGUGUGGGCAGGAAGACUGUCUGUGCCGAAGCGAAUGCGAUAAGUAAUCCGCCUGGGGAGUACGGCCGCAAGGUUGAAACUCAAAGGAAUUGACGGGGGCCCGCACAAGCGGAGGAACAUGUGGUUUAAUUCGAUGAUACGCGAGGAACCUUACCCGGGCUUGAA
rnacentral:rRNA from 1 species